CGCCGCACAUUCCCUUGCCUCGAUCCUCGGGUAUAUAAGGCGACGUUUGCCGGAGGCAGGGACCUUAUCCGCUUCUGGCCGGUCCGCCGACUGGAAGUCCUAGGUUGCCAUCGAGAUCGAGCGCCUCGGUCUCCGCUAAGCCACUUAGCUAGCAACCGCUUUUGCCUCCGAUCCUAGCUCUGUUUCCCGACUCGUUGACCUGGGCUCACGAAGAACUUGGGCCCUGUCAAGUCACUUGACGUGAAGGCGACUUCCAUCCGAUAAGCCUCCCGAGUCCGACGCCACCUCACGUACGGGGGUACGGUGCUCCGUACCUCCACCAAGUGCACUUGGCGUGAGGGGGUGUCCUCCGGCGAUCACUCGCGGUAUUAAUCGCCUUGCGACGGGCCGCGCGACGAACCGACAACAACGCACGGAUCCGUGUAUGCGCCGCGCUCACCGCACCACGCACCGCGUCUCACACGAGCGUCACGGCCACAAUAGCAAGGUCGCCGCAAUUCGGAGAAAAACACUUGACGCAAUACCACGAACCGCGUCUCGCGCGACAGGUGCGCUCGCCGAAGCCUGUGUAAAUAGAUUCCCGUACCGCGUAUUCCCCAGCAUUUGUAAAUAGAUUCCCAUACCGCGUAUGCCAAGCUUGUAUAUAUCGAUAAGUUCCGAGUUUCUGUGUCACGUCCGUCCGCGCGUCUAGAUGGCUAAUUAAGAUCCGCGUUUCGAUCACUACUUGAUCGCAUCUCUGGAUUUCUAGAGCCUCGUACGGCUAAUAGUAUUGCGUACUAGUAACCGCAACCGUGAAUGUACUGAAUUGAUGUAAAACUAACCGCGUGAAAUAAACGUAUGUGUAUCUACCAACUUAAAACACACGUCUAAUUCCUCCAGGCGACCUUUUGCGCCCGUUCCCGCACCGCCAACCGUCCGUGCGCGAAGUACGGUCGUUAUAUUUCUUUUCACAGUUGGCUGUCUGGUACAUAAUAACCCACCGAUAGACGAAGAGGGCAAAUUUUUAGAGAAAGACACGCGCAAACUGCACACACCAUGUUAUCCUUCCACCAUGGUAUUAGUGGCAUUUGGAUAGAGGCAGAGAGUGAGUGGAAGAUGGAGAGAGAGAGAGAAUGGAGUGUGUGAGAAGGCGGAGUAGUCGAAGCUGAGAGGUAGAGUGCAUGCGGAUAGAGAGUGAUGAAGGGUGGGAAGAGAUAGAGUGAAUGGAAGUGUGCGUGAAGUUGAGAGGUUAGGAAGUGUGAGAGAGCUGCGAGUGAGGUAGGAGGAAAGAAGGGAGGCGAAGCACGUGCGAGUAAAGGCAAGUACGCACGGUAAUGCAUUCGUAAACGCAUUUUGUCCGAUUUGUCCAAUUGGCAGACGUCAUAAGGAAAUAGAGCGAAAACCAAGCAGAAGUAGGAGGAAGGAUGGAUGAAGGCAAGAUAGCCGUGAUGCUGGAAGAGGCGAAGAAAGAGGUAAGGGAGGCGUUGAAAAGAGGAGAAUUAAAAGAAUAGAAAGACGGGGGAAGAGAACUUGGGUAGAAGCUUGUGAGUACUGGAAAUAUAGAAAAGGAAAAGGGAUAUGACGGAGGGAAUAGAAGAAAUUGAAAAGAAUGAAGGGGAUGAGUUUAAGAGAAGUAAAAAAACGCCGAGAACGCCGCCAAGAGGGUAGGAAGGGUGAGGGAGGGAGAGGUAAUGUUGAUGAUGAGAGAGGUGAGAGAGUGGAUGGAGGAGUAAUAGGAAAUGGGAAAAGAUGGAAGAGAGUUUGAGAGGCAUUGUAAAAGAGGAGAUGAGAAAGAGGGAAGAGGAUUGGAGGGUGGAAAGGAGUAAGAUGGAGAAAAGAAUAGAAGAGCUGGAAAAAAGUGGGAAAAAGGACUGAAAAUAGGGGGAGAGGAAGAUAGAUAUAGGGAAGGUAAAAGAGAAUAUAAGAAAUUAUGUGAAAAGAAAAAGAAGGAGGAAAGUGAGAAAUGGACAGAACUAGCAAAAAAGGUGAAGACGGAAGGGCAGGUAUGGGAAGUGAUGAAUAAAGAGAGGAAAGGAAGAAGGGGAAUAGACGAAAGGAUCAAAGGAGAGGAAUGGGUGGAAUAUUUUAAGAAAUUAUUAGGAGGGAUUGAAGGAAAAGUAGUGAGAGAUAUUAAGGGAGAAAGAAGGAGAGAUAUAAAGCCGGAAAUCACACGGGGGGAGGUUAAAAAGGCCUUAGGAAAGUUAAAGGAUGGCAAAGCGACGGGGGGAAUGGGAUACCAAGAGAGGCAUGGAAGUAUGGAAGAGAGAGAAUAGAGGAAUACAUAUGGGAGUUGUGUAAUAGGAUUUGGAUAGGAGAAAAAUGGAUAGAGGAAUGGACGAAAGGAAUAAUUGUACCAAUAAGGAAAAAGGGGGAGGGGGACAAGGUGGGGGAUUAUAGGGGGGUGACGUUAAUGCCAUCGUUGUACAAAAUUUAUGCCAUGGUGCUAGGAGAGAGGCUGCAGGGCAGCGAUCACGUAAUUUUUCUCUAGGGUGGAAACGUGAAAAGUGAAAAAUUUCAAGUGAAUUCGAGAAUUUUUGCGAUCAUGUAACUUUGUGAACUAUGGAAAUGUGAAACUUUCCAUGUGAACUUUUCCGCCUUGAAAAUUGAUGACAAAAAGGCGAAAAUCUAGAUAUUCCCUAGUAUAUUUUAUAAUCGGUUAGUAUAUUCAUAUACAUAUUGGUAGUACUUUUGCAAAACAUAUGGUAAUUUGAGUUAUGUUUUAUAUUGACAAACAGUAUUACUUUAACAUUUUAAUACUUAUUGUAGUAACAUUUUAAUAAUUAGAAGAAUUUUAAUAAUAUGUAAUUAUAAAAAAAAACAUUUUAAUAAUUAUUAUAGUAACAUUUUAAUAAUUAGCAGAAUUUGAAUAACAUAUAAUUAUAAAAACAUUUUAAUAAUUAUUAUAGUAUAAUAUGGCUGCAGCAUGGUGGAUGCUUCAACUUGAACAAUACGAAAAUAAUAUUUUAAGAAUACGUAGAAGAGAAUUACAAGAUCUAAGCAAUCCUUUUGAGAUACCAGAAUCCCAAUUUAUGGCUUUAUAUCGAUUUUCAAAAGAUGCCAUUUUUAUGUUGUAUGAAAGUAUACAACCUUAUGUUUAAGGAUCAGAAGUUGACAGCAAUACCAUUAGAAUUAAAGGUGAGAUUAAAUAAAAAUUGUGAUAAAUGUGCAAAUAUAUAUUGCCGUUUUAUUGUUUUUUUAAUAUGUUAGAGACGUUUCAAUUAUCACUUUAUAAUUUUGAAGAUUUUAGCAACAUUAAGUUUUUUAAGUUUUGGGUCGUAUCAAAGAAGAAUCGGACAAGAUUUCUUAAGUAGUAUGUUUUUGUCUUCUGUAAGUGGAGUAAUACAUGCUGUAAUCAAUGGAAUAAAUAGGAUAAUGCCACAAUGGAUAAAAUUUCCAACACUACCUGCUCACAUUCAAACUGUUCAAGAACAGUUUUGGAUUAAUACUAACUUUCCGGAGGUAAUAGGAGUUAUAGAUGGGGCACAUGUGGCAAUAUGGCCACCAGAAAGAAACAGAGAACAUUAAUAGAAAAUUAUUUCAUUCCCUAAAUGUUAUGAUGGUAAGUAUUCAUUAUUCCACAAUAAAUAUGUUAAUAUAAUUAAACAAAUGUAAUUAACAAAAAAGUUAAAUCCCGUAAUUAAUAAUUUCAUACAGACUUAUAUACAUUUAUAUUUUUUUUUGUUUUUAAGUCAGUGACUAUAAUGAAAUAAUAUUAGCAGUUUUAGCAAGUCACGGUGGCCGUACUCAUGAUUCUAGAGUUUGGAAUUUCUCUCGAUUAGCCAGAUAUAUGUUAAACAAAUAUCAGAAUGGUAGAAGAAAUGUAUGAUUAUUAGGUAAUGCAGGAUAUCCCUUAUUACCAUAUUUAAUGAUACCCAAAUUAAAUCAACCACCAGGAUCUCCAAGUACAGCAUAUACAGAUGCUCAUAUUAAAGCACGAUGCUCAGUCGAAAGAACAAUAGGUAUAUUGAAAGGUCGAUAGAGAUGUUUACGCAAAGAAAGGGCUUUACACUAUGUACCUGAAUUUGCAGCAUUGAUCGUAAACACAACUUGUGUUCUACAUAAUAUUGCAAAAUGUUUUAAUAUUCUGGAUGGCGAUGUAUACAGAGAUGAAAAUAUUGAAGAAGAAUUAGGACUGAUUUUUGAUGAAAAUUUACGUGCAAGAGGAAAUGAAGUGCGAGAAAGAAUAAUACUAUUAUACAAUAUUUUACAUGACUUUAUUUUUUAUAAAACAAUGUAACAAGUAUAUUAUUUGAAAAUGUAUUUUUUUCUACUAAAACUAAAAGUAACAUGAAACAUUAUCUUUAAUCUCUUUUUUAUUUUAUGUACUAUAUUUUAGAACUAUAUUAUACAAAACAAAAAAAAUAUUGCAAAACAAAAUUAAAAACUCAUUAUAUAUUUAUUUUUUACGU